rnacentral:tRNA from 1 species
ACCUGGCUGGCUUAGUGGGAAGAGCAUAGGACUCUUGAUCUUGGAGUUGUGAGUUUGAGCCCCAUGUUGGGUG